rnacentral:rRNA from 1 species
GUCUGAGAAACUAAGCCGGGUUAGGGCUCAGUUGGAAGACCAUCUGGGACUACCAGGUCUUUUAAGGUA